rnacentral:rRNA from 1 species
UGGGGAAUAUUGCACAAUGGGCGAAAGCCUGAUGCAGCGACGCCGCGUGAGGGAUGACGGCCUUCGGGUUGUAAACCUCUUUCAGCAGGGACGAAGCGCAAGUGACGGUACCUGCAGAAGAAGCACCGGCUAACUACGUGCCAGCAGCCGCGGUAAUACGUAGGGUGCAAGCGUUGUCCGGAAUUACUGGGCGUAAAGAGUUCGUAGGCGGUUUGUCGCGUCGUUUGUGAAAACCAGCAGCUCAACCGCUGGCUUGCAGGCGAUACGGGCAGACUUGAGUACUGCAGGGGAGACUGGAAUUCCUGGUGUAGCGGUGAAAUGCGCAGAUAUCAGGAGGAACACCGGUGGCGAAGGCGGGUCUCUGGGCAGUAACUGACGCUGAAGAACGAAAGCGUGGGUAGCGAACAGG